GCAGAUGCUCCUCCUCCUGACGAAUCGUCAGAAGGUGAAUAGUAGUUUCACGCUACAUCACAGUGCCUACGUCACACGUCACCUCAUCACGUAGGCGUUUGAUCGUCUCACAAUCUCACAGGAAGAAGAGACUAUGAAUGGACUUAAUCAAGGCUCUUGAUUAUAGGAGAAAGCUGUGAUUAAGAUUUAAUAGUCAAUCAUGGCCAGAGAACUCCUUGCCAGCAGACACUGGACUGGCUGGAUGUGUGGUGCUUGCCUCUUUCAUGUGAUAAAGGACGCCUCUUCCCUUCCAACAGCUACAGGAAGUGAAAAUUGGGAAGCAGAUGCCAAGACAGGAUUAAACAUGCAAGGAUUUCACUAGGGGACACUCCUGUGUGAGAGAAAAUGGCCAGAAUAUAGGAAAAGGCUGGAGAGCAGAGGCUCAGCACGUACAUCACACCCCAGAGAAGAAAAGGCAUAAGGAAGCUUGUGUGGAAGCAUCGGAAACUGCCAGGCAUUUCAAGGAAGCUUUGUCAAGACCGCUGCAGAGUCUCUGGGGCAAAGUCAGAGGUCAGAGGAGUCCCGUGUCUCCCAGGGUCCCCGCCAAGCAUCCCCCCCUGGCUCGGCACAUUCACUGGCAGGUAGCCUCAUCUUCAAAU